CUCCCGCUGCGCCCCGACCCCCGCGGGGCUCCGCGCCCCGAUAGCGCCCGCAGCGCGCACCGGGCCCGCCGCGGGAGGAGCGACGUUCGCCUUCCCCGGAGAUCCCUCCUCCCGUCCCCCUCGGGUCCUAAAAUGGAUGUGCUGUGAAGAUUUCAGCAAAAGAGAAAGAGGGAGCUUGGCUCAACCACCAGAGAAGCCCUGCAGCCCACACCCAGGCAAUCCUGAACCCGUGAGACCCGUGUGGAGUCUCCCAGGCAGGAAAACUCCCCUCAGAAGUGGCACACUGAGAACUCUUCCCUGGCCAGCCACAGAAUCAUCCUUGUGCCUGCUGUUGCCUUCUGAUUCAAUGACUCCUUUCAUUAGUUUGUGUGGGUGCCUUUCUUCAGCAGAGUGGAUCAGCUCCUGCAGCUGAGAUUCCCAUUCCACAUCACUGCAUUUACAGUCAGUUGCAAGGAAAGGGAUGCUUCAAAUUCCCAAGAGCUGACUCUGGAUCAUGUCUCUCUUAGUUUGUUGUCAGACCUCUGGGACAUUAUAUAAAUAGCUAGUGCAUAUUCCCACUGCAUUUUCUAAGUUCCUAGCAGUUGGCAGCGGGUUGGUUGGUCAUCCUGACUGGAAAACUGCUCCUCUUCUAUCCAGAAAAGGGCAACUUACUGUCUGAGGUGGGCUUAACCUUUCCCCCUGUCCUUGGCACCUCCAGCAGCGGCAGAGGCAGUUUUCUGUUUGAUUUUGUGAAUCGUAUCUUGAAAUACCUUGCUUUCUCUGCCUGCUGCACAGAGUUUGAGUGCCUGAACACAUCUGGAGCUCAGCAGAGUGUGAGCAGGAGAGAGCUUGUCCUGUGCUGUGAGUACGCCACAUGGAUUGGGCUGCAUUGUCUCUCAGCCCACCAAACUCUGGGCUGCAGCAGCUGAGUAUGCACCUUCCCCUUCAAGGAUAUACUUCCUUGGUGUGUAUACAUUUAUAUAUAUAUCCUUGGUAUGUCCCUUCCCUGCAAAGAGGCCCAGCAGUGCCAAGAGCAGGCCCCUGUACCCUGAAGUGCUCCUGCUUCCUGCAGUGCCUUGUGCUAUGUCAGGCUGAGGGGCAGUUGGGAUAUGAACCUCCCACUCCGACAUCCUCCUCGUAAACAUCCCGUCCCACUCAAGUCCUGUGCUGUCACAUCCUCCCUGCUCUGCCCAGAUGCUAUUCUGGGUUUAGUUCUAUAUGCAGAGCACACAGCUGGGCAUGCCAAAAUCCAGGCAGGCAGCAGGGCAGAACAGUAACUUGGUUCAGCUGCUGACAUAUUACAAGUAUUGCAGAGGAGGAGAGUUGUUGAAAGGUCUUAAAACUAAAAUCAUCUGCUUGAGCCCUCCUUGGAAAGCCAGUUUGCUCCCCUAGGUGUGUUCAGCAGCUGUACCUUACUCCAAGAGAUGCAAACCUGUGCACAUGGCAUGAAAAACGUUGGUAAUAAUGGAAGGGAGCAGAGCAGAGAGCUCAGAAAGUGCAGCACAGUGUUUACACAAGCAGCACGUACAACACCCAUCCCCGGUGAGUCAGUCCUGGCCGUUUCCUUCAUUUCCUCCAAGGCUCGCUGGGAACAUCCAGCAGUAGCAGCCCUUCUGAAAUCCAGUCAUCUCCUUUCCUGCCUCUUGUUUACAGCUUUCCUUCAGCAGGGAGCAGAGUCCCAGCCUCCAGCACUACAUUUUCACUGCAGCAGGCUGAGAGAAGUGCAGACCCUCCCCUGGCCUCAGCUCAGCUUUGGUACCGCAGUGCUCUUGUUGCUCUUAUGGGUGCCUGCACCUUGAGCUACAGCAGGCGCUGAGGAAAUGACUGCUCAUGCC